rnacentral:SRP_RNA from 1 species
GCCGGGCACGGUGGCGCGGGCCUGUAGUCCCAGCUACUCGGGAGGCUGAGGCAGGAGGAUCGCUUGAGCCCAGGAGUUCUGGGCUGUAGUGCGCUAUGCCGAUCGGUGUCCGCACUAAGUUCGGCAUCAAUAUGGUGACCUCCCGGGAGCGGGGGGCCACCAGGUUGCCUAAGGAGGGGUGAACCGGCCCAGGUCGGAAACGGAGCAGGUCAAAAUAAACCUUAAUUCUUCUUGAAACAAUUUUUUAAGAGUGACGAAAUACACUUAUCCAUCUCAUAAGAUUCUUGUU